rnacentral:rRNA from 1 species
GACGAACGCUGGCGGCGUGCGUAACACAUGCAAGUCGAACGAGAGAGUGAGAGAAGCUUGCUUUUCUUAUGAUCGAGUGGCAAACGGGUGAGUAACGCGUAAACAACCUGCCCCGCAGAUGGGGACAACAGCUGGAAACGGCUGCUAAUACCGAAUACGCUCCUCUUAGCGCAUGGUAAGAGGAAGAAAGGGUGGCCUCUGGAACAAGCUACCGCUGUGGGAGGGGUUUGCGUCUGAUUAGCUGGUUGGAGGGGUAACGGCCCACCAAGGCGACGAUCAGUAGCCGGUCUGAGAGGAUGAACGGCCACAUUGGAACUGAGACACGGUCCAGACUCCUACGGGAGGCAGCAGUGGGGAAUCUUCCGCAAUGGGCGAAAGCCUGACGGAGCAACGCCGCGUGAGUGAAGACGGCCUUCGGGUUGUAAAGCUCUGUUAUAGGGGACGAACGGCCGGGUAGCGAAGAGGUAGCCGGCANGACG